GACGAACGCUAGCGGCAGGCUUAAUACAUGCAAGUCGAGGGGCAGCAUGAUUGUAGCAAUACAAUUGAUGGCGACCGGCAAACGGGUGCGGAACACGUACACAACCUUCCAAUAAGUGGGGAAUAGCCCAGAGAAAUUUGGAUUAAUACCCCGUAACAUAACGAUGUGGCAUCACAUUGUUAUUAUAGAUUUUUCGCUUAUUGAUGGGUGUGCGGCUGAUUAGAUAGUUGGCGGGGUAACGGCCCACCAAGUCUACGAUCAGUAGCUGAUGUGAGAGCAUGAUCAGCCACACGGGCACUGAGACACGGGCCCGACUCCUACGGGAGGCAGCAGUAAGGAAUAUUGGACAAUGGACGCAAGUCUGAUCCAGCCAUGCCGCGUGAAGGAUUAAGGUCCUCUGGAUUGUAAACUUCUUUUAUAAGGGACGAAAAAAGACUUUUCUAAGUCGUCUGACGGUACCUUAUGAAUAAGCACCGGCUAACUCCGUGCCAGCCGCCGCCGUAACAC
rnacentral:rRNA from 1 species